AACGAACGCUGGCGGCAUGCCUAACACAUGCAAGUCGAACGAGAUCUUCGGGUCUAGUGGCGCACGGGUGCGUAACGCGUGGGAAUCUGCCCUUUGGUUCGGAAUAACAGUUGGAAACGACUGCUAAUACCGGAUGAUGACGAAAGUCCAAAGAUUUAUCGCCUGAGGAUGAGCCCGCGUAGGAUUAGCUAGUUGGUGUGGUAAAGGCGCACCAAGGCGACAAUCCUUAGCUGGUCUGAGAGGAUGAUCAGCCACACUGGGACUGAGACACGGCCCAGACUCCUACGGGAGGCAGCAGUGGGGAAUAUUGGACAAUGGGCGAAAGCCUGAUCCAGCAAUGCCGCGUGAGUGAUGAAGGCCUUAGGGUUGUAAAGCUCUUUUACCCGGGAUGAUAAUGACAGUACCGGGAGAAUAAGCUCCGGCUAACUCCGUGCCAGCAGCCGCCGUAA
rnacentral:rRNA from 1 species